CGUCCGCCUUGUUCAGGUAAACCACGACGUGCUGGACACCCACCUGUGCAGGUGAGACAGGUGAGUCACACCUGAACCUGAACCUGAACCUGAACCUGGACCUGAACCUGGGUCCGGCACCGCAUUCACCUUGUUCAGGUAAACAACAACGUGCUGGACACCCACCUGUGCAGGUGAGACAGGUGAGGGGUCACACCUGAACCUGAACCUGAACCUACACCUGAACCUGAACCUGGGUCUGAACCUGAACCUGAACCUGAACCUACACCUGAACCUGGGUCUGACACCGCAUUCACCUUGUUCAGGUAAACCACGACGUGCUGGACACCCACCUGUGCAGGUGAGACAGGUGAGUCACACCUGAACCUACACCUGAACCUGGACCUGAACCUGGACCUGAACCUGAACCUGGAUCUGAACCUACACCUGGACCCAACCCCCAACAGCUCCGGGUCCGGCACCGCGUCCGCCUUGUUCAGGUAAACAACGACGUGCUGGACACACCUGGACA
rnacentral:lncRNA from 1 species